CAUAAAUACAGACUCUUCACGUUCCCAAUCACAUUCACGUACAAAUGCUUCACUCCGUAUUCACAUUUAAAUGAAGUAUCAAGAUCCAGACUCAAUCCGUAAGUUUUCUCAAUUUUUCUUUGGUUUUUUAUCUCAUUUUUCUAGAACAAUCUAUAUGUCGCAGUUCAUCACCGCAAUGGGUUACGAUGACGAUCCGUAAGUUUUCUCCAUUUUUCUUUGCUUUUUUUCUUAUUUUUUCUUGAACAAUCUAUCUAUCGAUGUUCAUCACCGCAAUGGGUUACGACGACGAUCCAUAAGUUUUCUCAAAUUUUCCUUGCUUUUUUUUUAUUUUUCUUGAACAAUCUAUUUGUCGCAGUUCAUCACCGCAAUGGGUUACGACGACGAUCCGAUUCGGUGAUAAAAAUUCUUGAUACUUUGUACGUGAAAGAGAUUAUGCUAGGUUUUUUGUAUUGGAAACUAUUGCAAGAGUUCCUUAUUUUGCUUUUAUCUCGGUUCUGCAUUUGUAUGAGAGUUUUGGUUGGUGGAGAAAAGCGGAUUAUUUGAAAGUCCAUUUUGCUGAGAGCUGGAAUGAGAUGCAUCGCUUGCUUAUCAUGGAAGUGAGAUUUUUACAUGAUUAUUCCUAACUUUUUUAGGUUUAUACACUUUAAUGUAAUUUUUUAAGUCAGACAGUUCAUCUGAGGAGGCUUGCCCUGUUACUUAUGGCAGGCAGCCUGUGGUUUCCUCCAAAAUCCACAUUCUGUUUGCCGUAUCCAGUUCUCUAUCCAUGAUAAUAUGUUGGGUGAAGUUUCCCAAACCCAACUAAAGGGAGCAUAACAUCGGUGAAGUAAAGGCAAGUGUAAAAAGAUUAUAGGGUUGAGGAGGAAAAUGGACAUUGCCAAAGUGACAUGAUCGAGGCCAUUUUAAAUGACCAUUUUCUUACUAACUUGCAAGCAUAUGUAGUGGCUAUAAAGGCAAUACGUAAAACAGAGCCUCAGAUCUUAAGCAACCUCAGCCAACUUCACCUUAUUCCUAUCUUUUUGAAUCAAUUCUACUAACAGAAGCACACUAAAAUUUGGCUUGAUUGGCAAGGGCAAUUCUUCCAUUGGACAACUGUUCUUAAAUAACAUGAAUAAUUUAUUAUCACGCAGUACCAUCAGCUGUGAUGAACCAAUCCCUUUUCUUGGAUUAAGGUGGACAAAGCAGGGGCCACAGUGCCACAGUUCUAUCUCAGGAGGCAAACAAGGGACUCUGCAUAGCUAUGUGAAAAGGGAGAUACCAACUAAAUAUCAUAUACGGAUAUGAAUUGUCGAUGCUUUACUGGCUCAUCUAAACACAGGAAAGGGGAUGAUGUGCAGCAGGCUUAUCGUGGCGUAGAUGUGAAAUUUCAAUAGCAUCAACAUUUCAUGGGUGCCUCAUGAACUUACGGGACAUUUCUUAUGGGAAUGAAUCAUUGUAUUUUGUAUAUGAUUUAUAGUGAGUCAGUUGGUGGUGGUGGUGUAAGUUAGAGGGGUGUAUCAGUUUCUAUUAACUUCUAUUUGUCUGUUUAUAAGUAUUAUGUAAUACAUUUUGGCUGUGCUAUUUUCUAUAUACU